UACGGGGGGAGCAAGCGUUGUUCGGAUUUACUGGGCGUAAAGGGCGCGUAGGCGGCCACCGCAAGUCGACUGUGAAAUCUCCGGGCUUAACCCGGAAAGGUCAGCCGAUACUGCGGGGCUAGAGUGCAGAAGGGGCAACUGGAAUUCUCGGUGUAGCGGUGAAAUGCGUAGAUAUCGAGGGGAACACCUGCGGCGAAGGCGGGUUGCUGGGCUGACACUGACGCUGAGGCGCGAAAGCUAGGGGAGCGAACGGG
rnacentral:rRNA from 1 species